AACUAGACUGUCUCUUUCUCUUUAAUCUUAAUUUCACAAUCCCGUGAAGAGGCGGGGAUAAGUUCGUAAGACGAGAAGACCCUGUCGAGCUGCAGUGGAACCUUAACUGCUAUUUACCUUAAACCCUAUCUAAUACGUAAUAAGAUUAGUAAUGAGAGAGGCAUAGUAAAUUAAGAUAAACUUUGAUUGGGGCAAUCUCGGAGGAGGAUAAUCCUCCGAUACUAACAGUUAUGCAAUAUAACUUAACUUAAAAGAGCUACUACUCUAAGAUCAUAGAAUGAAGGUAUGAUCCACUCACAGUGAUCAAAGGAACAAGUUACCGCAGGGAUAACAGCGUUAUCUUUUCUGAGAGUUCAUAUUGACGAAAAGGUUUGCGACCUCGAUGUUGGAUCGGGGACAUCCUAAGGGUGCAGAAGCUUUUAAGGGUUGGUCUGUUCGACCAUUAAAGUCCUAACGUGAUC
rnacentral:rRNA from 1 species